CUUAGGAAUAAGGGGUUGCUAAACUCGUGCCAGCAGCAGCGGUAAUACGAGUACCCCGAGCGUUGUCCGGAAUUACUGGGCGUAAAGGAUGUGUAGGGGGUUGUAUUAGCCCCGCCUUAAAUAUCUAUGCUUAACAUAGAAAGUGGGCGGGGAACGGUAUAACUUUGAGAAUGCGAGAGGUAUGCGGAACUCACGGUGUAGGGGUGAAAUCCGUUGAUAUCGUGGGGAACACCAAAGGCGAAGGCAGCAUACUGGCGCAUUUCUGACCCUGAAACAUGAAAGCGCGGGCAUGGAAAAGGAUUAGAUACCCCAGUAGUCCAAGCC
rnacentral:rRNA from 1 species